rfam:Anopheles atroparvus strain EBRO unplaced genomic scaffold supercont1.19, whole genome shotgun sequence.
AGUUACUUAAGCCAACCGUACAGAAACUUUACUGCAUGAAAGAGUUUGUUCGUUUGGCUCGAGUUAUGC